AAUGUAACUGCUGCCAGCUUUCCUGUAAGGAUCCCCAUCCAGGGACAGGGAAAACAUUUUCCUUUCAAUGCCUCGAGGCCCUUCAGCAACUGUAGGAGCGGGCGUGGUGUCGUCGCUACUGUCAAAUCCUGGACCCGGCAGCCGACUUUUUCCUGACUUGGACAUCAGCAGCGGAAGCAAGGGAAGUUUCAAGACACACAGUAAAGUUUGCUUCAGUCCAGGGAUCACAGUGCACAAAACCCGAGCAUACUUCUCUCUGAGCUCUCCGUGAUGUUGAAAAAGAAGCUUCUUCAAGGAUGACCAAAUGCUUACCCCGCCUUGUGCCCAGCUCAGUGCAGACAGAAGUCACUACACUGAACGAGAACUACAACCAGGAAGCAGUCUCCGCCCUGAGAAGCAGCCAUUAGUACACAGAGGAGAUUCCAUGGACACAGGGCCAUCCACAGGAAGGUAAACAGCCCAUCAGCUGCCAAACUGCUGAAGAAAAGUGACUUUCCUCCUCCAGCAGGCGUAAGUUGCCAGUGGCUAAGAGUGGAACUGCCUGAGUCCCCACCUCCAUCGAUGCUGCAAUGUGUAUGCCUCGACUUUGUGCAGGGCCAGCUUUAAGAGGACAGAGCCAUGGAUUGCGAGUGGGAGAGAUUGUGUCUGUAAGGGCAGAGGAGACACCAAUGAACUGAGUGCCACCUGCCUCCGUGUGACAGGAGCCUCGCAUAACUGUCUUCUGAGAGGCUUCACCCAGCAGUGGAUGAAACGGAUGCAGAGACCCACAGCCAAACAUCAGGCGGAGCUCAGGCAUCAGAGUGUGGAUGCUCCAACACUGCACAGGAAGCUAAAAAGGAAAGGUCAGUCCCUGGCACUUACAAGCAUGGUGUUUUCUAGUUGUUCUCAAGCAGAAGAGACGGAGGACCAGAAAGAAUAGAACAGUGCCCGUUUCAUGGGGACUGAACACAUUGAGAGAACCUUACCACAGUUAAGUCUCUCUGCCCACAAGGGACCUAUGGGAUCCACCAUCACGCCGGGAGAUCAAGGCACAGCAAAGACACAUAUCUGGGACUCACAGCUCAGAUCCUUCUAUUCCUUGUAACUGCUCCAUUAAAGGCACAGAAAAGAAAACGGUGCCAUUUUACUGAUGGAUUCAAUGCAACAGAUGGACCAUCCACCUGACCAAACUGCAGAGUCGAAGUAUCCAUGCACGGAGAUAUCAUCUUCACAGAAAAUUAAAAAUCCCACAUUUAAAUCUCCAUAUAGUCACAGACUCUAUUAUAUGACUGCAAGCAGUUCCUUCCUGUCUGAGCCUCAGUUUCUCUAUUACAAUGGAGAGAGUUAAACUAAACAGAUUUUCCCCAAAGGAUGCCACAUGCUUUUCGGUCCUCUCAUUCAGAGCUGACAUUCUAUGAUCCUUCCCCCACCCCCACCCCCACCCCCAAACAGUUGGAGUCUUAUUUUUAACUACACAUAGAUGUCUCUUACAAAUUAUCCAGGGUCAUGGAUUAGCUGAAAAUACAAAAGCUUAAUUUCCUCUGCUUGGCUACUGUUAUAAAUGAUGAUCAAAAGAGUCAAAGAACAAACAGAGCUGGCUGCAGAGAGAAUGCUGGGAUGGGGGCGGGGGUGGUGGUGGCAAUCUUACCCAGGACCCCUUGCGGUCGGAACUCUGGGGUCUGUAAUUCACUGCUGCUUUGGGCAGGCUGAAAUGAAUCAUAAUAUUUUGAGCCCUCAAUGGAAGAGAGAAGAAAAGGGAACAAGAGGCCAGCGAGAGUGAGCGCCCAGUGUUUCCCCAGUUAAAUACAUGUUUUCAUCGCAGCGUUGAUGGGUUCAGAGGAAUGAAUGGCCACGAUUUAGUUAUCUUUUGGAUGGAUGAUUUUAAAUGCUUGUUGGAAGGGUCUUUGAUGAGACAGCCUCUUCAAGCCACACCACAGCACAGACUGGAAGUCUUCGGGACCGGGGGGGGGGGGGGGGNUCUCGCUGUCUUUCAGAGCCGGGAAGGCUUUGCGCUCUGAGAUUCCUGACGCUGGCGUUUCUGUUUCUAUGAUCCCCACUGGCACACGGCUCACUUCCACCCUUUCAGACUCUCAUCAGACAGCAUGUCAUAAGUUGGGGAUGGAGGGGGAGAGAGGGAGAGACUGUAGAAUCUUAACUCAUGCCGUGCUUAUUUGGGGCUGGCUAUGGUUUGAAUGUCUGUGUCUUCUCCUCUGGAGAGAUUCCUGUUGAAACUUAAUCCCCAUUACAACAGGAUUAGAAGGUGGAGCCUUUUGACAGUGAUUAGGCCUCAGGGCUCUGCUGUCACGGAUGAGAUUAGCACCUUCUCCACCAAGGAUGGGAUUAGCACCUUAAUAAAGGGGCCUG
ensembl:lincRNA Gm2762 predicted gene 2762